AUCCUUUUGUAGUUCAUAAACAUGAUGAUUGGGUGUUCAUAUGUACAUGUGAGAAGUCCUUCCCUCAGACUUUGUUAAGGCAUAAGGAUAUUACCCAUCUGAUG